AACGGUCUAUACCUGCGGUACCUGCGGAGGGAUCAUUACCGAGUGCGGGCCCUCCGGGUCCAACCUCCCACCCGUGUCUACCGUACCUUGUUGCUUCGGCGGGCCCGCCGUCCUGGCCGCCGGGGGGCAUCGCGCCCCCGGGCCCGCGCCCGCCGAAGACCCCCUUUGAACGCUGUCUGAAGGUUGUCGUCUGAGUGCAUUACCGCAAUCGGUUAAAACUUUCAGCAACGGAUCUCUAGA
rnacentral:misc_RNA from 1 species